CUACGGGGGGCACCAGUGGGGAAUAUUGCACAAUGGGCGCAAGCCUGAUGCAGCCAUGCCGCGUGUAUGAAGAAGGCCUUCGGGUUGUAAAGUACUUUCAGCGGGGAGGAAGGGAGUAAAGUUAAUACCUUUGCUCAUUGACGUUACCCGCAGAAGAAGCACCGGCUAACUCCGUGCCAGCAGCCGCGGUAAUACGGAGGGUGCAAGCGUUAAUCGGAAUUACUGGGCGUAAAGCGCACGCAGGCGGUUUGUUAGGUCAGAUGUGAAAUCCCCGGGCUCAACCUGGGAACUGCAUCUGAUACUGGCAAGCUUGAGUCUCGGAGAGGGGGGUAGAAUGCCAGGUGUAGCGGUGAAAUGCGUAGAGAUCUGGAGGAAUACCGGUGGCGAAGGCGGCCCCCUGGACGAAGACUGACGCUCAGGUGCGAAAGCGUGGGGAGCAAACAGGAUUAGAUACCCCUGUAGUC
rnacentral:rRNA from 1 species